UAUUCCAAUUAUUUGCUUAUUGUUAAUUUGUAAUUUUAUCGAUUGUACUUACGAAGUAUUUACUUAAAAUGUUGCUAAUAUUAUAUUGACGUUUCCUAAGCUUUUGUAAAGAUCAACUAUUUUACUCUUGUUGUAUAUUUGCCUAUUGUUCCAUUUGUUUCAUGAAAUAAAGCACAUUCACUAUUCAGACAUCUAACUCAUAGGAAUUAAGUAAUAGUAUUUAAAUAAAAUUGUGAAUAAUUAAAAUGUUGAGAUACAGAGGGAAAAAACUAGCACUUAACAUUGUAAAAGAAUUGGAUUCAUUUCCUAAGGUCCAAGAAGAAAUUUAUGAACCAUCUACUUAUAGUAAUAUUAUACUGACAGUUUUAAUUUCUAUAUUUGGAUUAUGGUUAUUAAUUUCUGAAGUACAAUUUUUUCUACAAGAACAUUAUAUAUACAGAUUUGAACCAGAUACAGACUAUGAAUCUAAACUUCCAAUAAACAUAGAUAUUACAGUUGCAUCACCUUGUGACAGUAUAGGUGCUGAUAUUGUUGAUACAACGGGACAAAAUAUGAUGUUAUUUGGAGAAUUGAAAACUGACGAUACUUGGUGGGAAAUGACAAAAGAACAGCAACAACAUUUUGAAAAAAUGCGUGAAUUUAAUGCAUAUUUAAGAGAAGAAUAUCAUUCAAUGAAAGACAUAUUAUGGAUGUUUGAUGAUUAUAAUACAUUAAAAAAUAAAAUUUCUGUUAGAACAGAAAAACCAAACACUAUACCAGAUGCGUGUCGCAUACACGGGUCAUUAAUUCUAAAUAAGGUGAUAGGAAAUUUUCAUAUAACUCCUGGGAAAUCUCUUAUAGUUCCAGGUGGUCAUGUGCAUCUUACUGGUCCAUUUUUUGGAUCAGGGGCUACUAACUUUUCUCAUCGAAUUAAUCAAUUUUCAUUUGGUGUUCCGACAAAAGGGAUUAUGUAUCCAUUAGAAGGAGAACUGUAUGAAACAAAUGAAAAUGCUGUAUCCUUUAAAUAUUUCAUAGAUGUAAUAGCUACAGAUGUUAAAUCACAUUCAAAUGAAAUAAAAACUUACCAGUAUUCAGCAAAAGAUAUACAAAGAAAAAUUGAUCAUAAUACUGGGAGUCACGGUAUGCCUGGUAUAUAUUUUCAAUAUGAUAUUAAUGCUCUCAAAUUCAUCAUCACAGAAAAUAGAAUUACCUUGUUUCAUUUAAUUAUUGAAAUAGCAUCGACUAUUGGCGGCUUGUUUUUAUUAUUUAAUUUUAUGAAGAUUCUAUUAGAUAAGUUCACAAAAAAAGUAUAUUCCUUCUAUACAACUGAUAGAAUUAUCACAAGAGAAAAGUCCUUAGAUUAUAAAUAACAAUCUAUUAUAACAUGAUACAACUAUGUGCUGAAGGUCUAUUUUUGAACUUAAUCGAAUCAUAUUAGUGAUCUAAUACACCCAUUUUCAAUCAUCUAUUCGAUUAACUGUUUGUUAGUUUCCUUGUUAGUUGCUGGUCAAGACAUGCAGAAACAAUAAUCCAAAAUAUUUCACAAGAUAUUAACAUAUUAAUCAUAUUUUAAAAUAUUUUGUUUUAUUUCUUCUUAAUUUUAGGUAGGUAGGUAUAAUAGNAUAGAAGNAAGAANNAAAAANAAAGUAUUUAUUUAUUAUUUUAUUUUUACUGCAGUGUACAGUAACUACUAUAACUACAGGGCGAUUUUUUUAUCAUGAACCACUCAUUAUUUCAAAAAGUAUCAAUGUUUUUGAAAAUAUUUUUU
rnacentral:misc_RNA from 1 species